UAUAUACUUCCUCCGUCCCUUGUCUUAGAUUUGUUAGAUAUGAAUGUAUCUAGUCACGUUUUAGUAUUUAGAUACGUCCAUUUCUAGACAAACUUAAGACAANNNNNUUGGGACGGAGGGAGUACAUA
rfam:Hordeum vulgare subsp. vulgare, WGS project CAJW01000000 data, contig: morex_contig_1570295